UAAGGGCGCACGGUGGAUGCCUUGGCACUAGAAGCCGAUGAAGGACGUUACUAACGACGAUAUGCUUUGGGGAGCUGUAAGUAAGCUUUGAUCCAGAGAUUUCCGAAUGGGGAAACCCAGCAUGAGUUAUGUCAUGUUAUCGAUAUGUGAAUACAUAGCAUAUCAGAAGGCACACCCGGAGAACUGAAACAUCUUAGUACCCGGAGGAAGAGAAAGAAAAUUCGAUUCCCUUAGUAGCGGCGAGCGAAACGGGAAGAGCCCAAACCAACAAGCUUGCUUGUUGGGGUUGUAGGACACUCUAUACGGAGUUACAAAGGACGACAUUAGACGAAUCAUCUGGAAAGAUGAAUCAAAGAAGGUAAUAAUCCUGUAGUCGAAAAUGUUGUCUCUCUUGAGUGGAUCCUGAGUACGACGGAGCACGUGAAAUUCCGUCGGAAUCUGGGAGGACCAUCUCCUAAGGCUAAAUACUCUCUAGUGACCGA
rnacentral:rRNA from 1 species